rnacentral:rRNA from 1 species
AUGCCAAGUGAGGCUGCUGAUGGUGCAUUCAACAACUCUACUAGGGAGACCAUUGGAGCGCACCUAGAUUAUGGCCCUCUGCAUGACCGAGUGGGCACGGAGCUAUGGAGAUGUAUCAAUGAUAGUAAUGUGGUGCUUGGCGGUGCACCUAGUCCAGAAACGGACGGGCUUGUUAGGAGUACUCUACAGAAGGUUGUGAAUCGUUGCCGCACACUAGCAGCUUUACUCUCUUGCCAUGGUGGUUCAUCCAUGGAUGUGCGUGCACGUGCUCAGUAUAGAAUGGGUGUGCUUUCUUCUGCUCAUCCAUCUUCCAGCCGAGCACGUGCUUAUUCCGCCUGUCCAUCUUCCAGCCGAGCACGGAUUGAUGAACAGGAAGAUGAAGAGGAGGAGACAGACGACGAUGCAGAUCUGGACUAUAUGGAGCUUGGGGCUUCGCAGAUGGAAGAAGUUCCACAGCCAACUCAACCUUCUGAAGAAGCACGUCAAGUUAGCUCAAGAACCAUCCGACGUCCUGGAUGGCAGAACACUCCAGAGGGCUACGCCAACAGGGGAAGAUGGCUGCGAAAAGAGGGAAUAAGCCCCCGGCUACCACUCGCCUCCUCCCCACCCCAGAUCCGUCGACCUCACCCUGCCCACCACCGCCCACCGCCAGCUCCAACGACCCCCACGUUGGCGCCCAUCCACGAGCUGGAGCAGCCGGAUGAGGACGACCCUACCGAGACUGCCUCUUCCUCCGGCGACCACGCCACCCAGCGCCACCAGGACGCCGCCGCACCACCACCGAGCUUCCAGCUCUCCCCGUCCCAAUCCCGUCCUCCGGCCGGCCGCUCCUCCCGCACCACCAGAAGCAGCACAGGCGGACAGCAGCAGCUGCGCCCGCCUCCCGCCCACGCCAGCAGAAGCCGUGCUCGAUCCGCGGGAGGAGGACGGAGGCGCAGCGGGCUUCUGUUCUUCCCUGCUGUCGAGAAGCAGCCCCGGCCUGUUGACCCGCGCGCCCUCGUCCUGGCCGUGGCCGCUACCUGGGCUGCUCGCGAGGCGGCGCAACAUGUCGGGGUCGCCGACGACCCUGAGGAGGAAGAGGAGUGCUUGGUCCGGCGCUCCAUCUCCUGCACCCUGCCGCCACGCGCUCCUCGGAGAUGCCCUGCCAGCCAUGGAGUAAUUCAAGUUCAAGGUUUCUCAGAACUAACAAAUGCUGCUCUUUAA